GUUGUAUGGUUAAGUGACUAAGCGUACACGGUGGAUGCCUUGGCAGUCAGAGGCGAUGAAAGACGUAGUAACUUGCGAUAAGCCCAGAUUAGGUAGUAACAACCAUUUGAGUCUGGGAUUUCUGAAUGGGGAAACCCACGUGCAUAAGCACGUAUCCUUACCUGAAUACAUAGGGUAAGGAGGCGAACCGGGGGAACUGAAACAUCUAAGUACCCCGAGGAAAAGAAAUCAACCGAGAUUCCGAAAGUAGCGGCGAGCGAAAUUGGACUAGCCCUUAAGCUUUACACGCGUUAGACGAACGGUCUGGAAAGUCCGACGAUACAGGGUGAUAGUCCCGUAGUUGACGACGUGUGUUCAGUGAAAUCGAGUAGGGCGGGACACGUGAUAUCCUGUCUGAAUAUGGGGGGACCAUCCUCCAAGGCUAAAUACUACUGACUGACCGAUAGUGAACCAGUACCGUGAGGGAAAGGCGAAAAGAACCCCUGUGAGGGGAGUGAAAUAGAACCUGAAACCGUGUACGUACAAGCAGUAGGAGCAGGCUUGUCCUGUGACUGCGUACCUUUUGUAUAAUGGGUCAGCGACUUAUAUUCAGUGGCAAGGUUAACCAUCUAGGGGAGCCGUAGGGAAACCGAGUCUUAACUGGGCGUUCAGUCUCUGGAUAUAGACC
rnacentral:rRNA from 1 species